UACGUAGGGUGCAAGCGUUAAUCGGAAUUACUGGGCGUAAAGCGUGCGCAGGCGGUUAUGUAAGACAGGUGUGAAAUCCCCGGGCUUAACCUGGGAACUGCAUUUGUGACUGCAUAGCUAGAGUACGGUAGAGGGGGAUGGAAUUCCGCGUGUAGCAGUGAAAUGCGUAGAUAUGCGGAGGAACACCGAUGGCGAAGGCAAUCCCCCUGGACCUGUACUGACGCUCAUGCACGAAAGCGUGGGGAGCGAACAGG
rnacentral:rRNA from 1 species